AAAAGGCUAGAGAGAGAAAGUCCAGCCCUCGCCUCCUCUGCCUGAUUGACUUCAAAAAAGUUGCAGGGUUGCUUGAUUGACUUUUAAUACUCCUCUCUCUCUCUCUCUCUCUCUAGAAUAUUUUCCAGUGAUAUUUUCCAGCAUGAAGGCUGGUGAUGGCUCCGUGGGAUCAAUAUUGGACAAGCCCACAAAAAAGAAAAUUUCCCAAUUCCAAUUGGUAGAAAGAGAACGAGAGUCUUCUUGAUGUAGUUGACUCAAGGAAAAGCAAAGAGUUACCAAUUCUAAUUGGUAGAAAGAGAACGAGAAUCUUUUUGCUGUAGUUGACUCAAAGAUCUCCUUCGGCAGCAGCAGAAGGUAUAAGAAGCAACUCUCUCUCGCUCUAUGGCAGUAGAGAUUUGAAGGCACAACAAAGGAGAAGACUAGUGAUAACUUCAAAGAAGGCAUAGAGAGAGCGAAGGAAUAACAAAGAUCAAAAGGCACAACAAAGAAAAAGAAGGGGUCUGAAGAAACUGUAAGAAGCAAUUCUCUCUCGCUCUAUGGCAGCAGAGAUCCAAAGGUACAGCAAGGGAGUAGACUAGUGAUAACUUCAAAGAAAGCACAGAGAGAGUGAAGGCACAACAGAGAUAGAGAAGAAGGGGUCUGCAGAAAUUGUAGAAAUUGUAAGAAACAACUCUCUCUUGCUCUAUGGCAGCAGAGAUUUGAAGUCACCCCCAAAAAACCAGAAGACGUAGCAAAGGAGCUGGUAAGCCCCCGAAAACAAAAACCUUAACCACGCUCUGUUACCAUAUUAGAAAAAUAGAAAGCCACAUGUACAAAGACAAGAUUUACGUGAUUCGGCAAUGGCCUACGUCCGCGGUGAGCACUGUAUCCUUUAUUCUGUCAUGAAAAAAUACAAUACUCAAGACAUAUAAUUUAUAGAAGAAGAGAGCAACAGUUACAUCCCAUAAAAGUUUAUCAUAUCAUGUAAUAUAUGUUAACAUCCCAAAGAUAAACAUCACCAACGUAGAAACCGUGGUAGCAUAGGUUGGCAAUGAGGUGGUAAUACGUUUUCAACACUUACAUAUAUGGUCCUCUAUGAGUUUCACUACAAAGCCUUCAAGUUGAGUCAUAGAAAUUUGUUUCUCUAACUCUCCAAACAAGAACAUAGUCUUGACUCAAACUACUCCAACUCCAAAUCAAAUAAUGCAACUAUUGCUAGCAAUACCCAAAUAGAGGCGUACUUUACAAUAGAAGAAAAGAUAUAAUCAGAGUCAAUGCUUUCCCUAUGUACAAUGCCUUUUAUGCCCAAUUGUACCUUGAACUAAUUCCCUUCUUUCUUAUAAAUCCAUGUUCAUUCAUUGGCACUCUUGUAUUUGGAAAACUUCACGAGAUCCUAAGUAUGAUUCUUUUGAAGAACCAUUAUCUCUUCAUUCAUGUGUCGUUCCACCUACUACAAUUACCAUCUUUGUAACUUCCUCAAAUCUUGGCAUGUGACAGCUAAUGCAUAAACUACCAUAUCCUCAAGAUAUAUAUCACAACAGGCUUCUUGGUUAUGUUUUCCCUCCUAAGCUAAAGCUCUUCUUCAUGUGGAGUUGAUGCAAAAGAAGUCUGGGAAAUUAAAUCUGGUCUUCUUUCGAUCUUAAACAAAUAAAAAUUCAACAAUAAUAGAGGAAAAAAUAUGACUGUAAAUCAUGCCACGAAGAAAAAGACAUUAGCUUCUUCAUUCAUAAGCAAGCUCUCUACAAAAAUAUUCACUUCUCCUUUCUAAAGGAAAAGUUAUACCUUAAAUACAAGUCAAUUAACAAGAAAUACAAGUCAAUUAUAAAUAAAUACAUAAAUAACCCAAAAAAACUCUCUCUCUCAUGCCAAUUUCUCUCUGUCUCCCCACCAUGUAUAUCUCUCUCUUCCACGUUAAUCUCUUCCUCUCUCUACCCCACAAUUUUCUCUCUCUAGCUCAUCUUUUUUCACGCGAAUCUCUCCUCCAUCAAAUCUUUCAUUAGAUAUUCACCCUCAUAAAAAUCUCCCAUAAAUAUCUAUUUUUUAAAAUCUUUACUCCCCAUCCAUAUCCCACAUAAAUCUCUUUGGAUUAAUUAAAGCUUCUUUCCAAAUAUUCUUAUUUUCUCUCAUAGAUCAUCUUUUUUAGGAAAUUUCUCUACCUCUCAUGCAAUUAACCCUCUCACAUCAUUCUCUUUCUAAUUAUCUAACAAUCCUACAAACUAAGAAAUUCAUCUUAAUAAAAUAAAAAUCCCUUUUUAACCCUUUAUAUGAAUAUUUUUAAAAUUCAGUGCCAACAAUUAUAUAUAUAUAUAUAUAUAUAAAGUGGAUUUUGUACACCCACUAGCUGACCGCUAUGGUAAACGCCAAUUGCCCAGAUUGAAUCUAAGCCGAUCUGACGGUCACGACCUCUUUUCGUGUUUAAAUUUUAUUUUAUUUUCUAUAAAUCCAAAUUAUUUAAAAUUUUAGUGUAUAUUCUUCUCAUCAAGGUUCACCAAAUAAAAAUAUAUAAAAAAAAUAAUCUGUAAAAUAAUUGACCAAAAUACCUUUAAAAUUUUACAGGGGUAUUUUGGUUAAGUUUUUCAAGUAAAAUAUUUUUUUUAUAUUUUUCAAAGAUUCACCUAUUUUUUAUAUAUACAUGCUCCAAAUUUCAGAGCAAUACGAUUUGUAAAAAAAAUAUUAAAAUUUAAAUACUACUGAAUAUUCGGGAUCGCCAGAUCGGCCCAGAUUCAAUCUGGGCCGUUGGCGUUUACUGUAGCAGUACGCCCUUAGGCUGACAAGAUAUUUAUUUUUAUAUAUAUAUAUAUAUAUAUAUAUAAUUUGCAUCAAGAGCAGGCUCGGUAACAACUUAGGGUCAACAUUCUCCUCAGCACUUUCACAAGGAUAUUCUGACACAUAUUUUGGAUCAUUUUCUAAAGUUCUGAACUCCAGUUCAAUGGAUCACCAAUGUUGUGAUGUCUCUUUUACCUUUUUUCUAAAUGUGCUUCAACAUAGUAGAUUCAUUUUAUUUACUUCACAACUGAUAGUAGACUUAGACGAUAUAGAGGUUGGGCACCACAAUUUGUAACCUUCAACUCUAGUCAUUACUAAGAAAAAUACUCUUCUUUGAUCUUUUACGUUAACAUAAGCAAAGCAAUGAAAAUUUCUUAAACAUGAAUAAUCUGCAGGUAUAUUGGUCUAUAACUCUUGUGGUGUUUUAUGCACUACACCAUAGAUGGUAACCUAUUGACAAGGUAGCAUGUCGUACUAACUGCCUUUUCCCAAAGGUCAUUUGACAAACAAUUGUUACUCAACAUGUUGUUGCUUUUUUUGCAGGUGUCAUGUUUACACACUUGGCAAGUUCAUUAUGUUCUAACAUUUUCAAAGUAGGUAGUGAUGAAUAAUGCAUUUAUUACUGCAAAAGUUCAUAAGCUCCAUGAAAGUGUACUCUCCACCAUUAUGAGCCAUCAAGCACUUUAUCUUCUAGUUUGAUUUUCGAC
rnacentral:lncRNA from 1 species